UACGUAGGGGGCAAGCGUUGUCCGGAUUUAUUGGGGGUAAAGAGCGUGUAGGCGGUUUGGUAGGUCCGCUGUGAAAACUCGAGCUCAACCUCGAGACGCCGGUGGAAACCAUCAGACUAGAGUCCGGAAGAGGAGAGUGGAAUUCCUGGUGUAGCGGUGAAAUGCGCAGAUAUCAGGAAGAACACCCGUGGCUAAGGCGGCUCUCUAGUACGGUACUGACGCUGAGACGCGAAAGCGUGGGGAGCGAACAGG
rnacentral:rRNA from 1 species